rnacentral:rRNA from 1 species
CCUACGGGAGGCAGCAGUGAGGAAUAUUGGUCAAUGGCCGAGAGGCUGAACCAGCCAAGUCGCGUGAGGGAAGACGGCCCUACGGGUUGUAAACCUCUUUUGUCGGGGAGCAAAGCGAGUCACGUGUGACUCAUUGAGAGUACCCGAAGAAAAAGCAUCGGCUAACUUCGUGCCAGCAGCCGCGGUAAUAGGGAGGAUGCGAGCGUUAUCCGGAUUUAUUGGGUUUAAAGGGUGCGCAGGCGGAGGUGCAAGUCAGCGGUAAAAUUGCGGGGCUCAACCCCGUACGGCCGUGGAAACUGCAUCCCUUGAGUGCGCGAGAGGUAUGCGGAAUGCGUGGUGUAGCGGUGAAAUGCAUAGAUAUCACGCAGAACUCCGAUUGCGAAGGCAGCAUACCGGCGCGCAACUGACGCUGAUGCACGAAAGCGUGGGUAUCGAACAGGAUUAGAUACCCGAGUAGUC